GGGCGAUUAGCUCAGUUGGUUAGAGCACUUGCACGACACGCAAGGGGUCACUGGUUCGAGUCCAGUAUCGCCCA
rnacentral:tRNA from 3 species